GCCCCUGUAGCUUAGUCGUGGAGCAGUUGCCUCGUAAGCAGCAGGUCGGGAGUUCAAAUCUCCCCGGGGGCU
rnacentral:tRNA from 1 species